GAGAGCUUGCUCUCGGGUGACGAGUGGCGGACGGGUGAGUAAUGUCUGGGAAACUGCCUGAUGGAGGGGGAUAACUACUGGAAACGGUAGCUAAUACCGCAUAACGUCGCAAGACCAAAGAGGGGGACCUUCGGGCCUCUUGCCAUCAGAUGUGCCCAGAUGGGAUUAGCUAGUAGGUGGGGUAACGGCUCACCUAGGCGACGAUCCCUAGCUGGUCUGAGAGGAUGACCAGCCACACUGGAACUGAGACACGGUCCAGACUCCUACGGGAGGCAGCAGUGGGGAAUAUUGCACAAUGGGCGCAAGCCUGAUGCAGCCAUGCCGCGUGUAUGAAGAAGGCCUUCGGGUUGUAAAGUACUUUCAGCGGGGAGGAAGGUGAUGAGGUUAAUAACCUUGUCAAUUGACGUUACCCGCAGAAGAAGCACCGGCUAACUCCGUGCCAGCAGCCGCGGUAAUACGGAGGGUGCAAGCGUUAAUCGGAAUUACUGGGCGUAAAGCGCACGCAGGCGGUCUGUCAAGUCGGAUGUGAAAUCCCCGGGCUCAACCUGGGAACUGCAUUCGAAACUGGCAGGCUGGAGUCUUGUAGAGGGGGGUAGAAUUCCAGGUGUAGCGGUGAAAUGCGUAGAGAUCUGGAGGAAUACCGGUGGCGAAGGCGGCCCCCUGGACAAAGACUGACGCUCAGGUGCGAAAGCGUGGGGAGCAAACAGGAUUA
rnacentral:rRNA from 1 species